GGAGAGGUUUGUGCUUGUUGGGAUAUUGUGUGCUCAUGUGAUGGUUGCCUUAAGGCCUACUAUAUUAGAUGCUCUGAAAAUGUUGGAAGGAGAUAUUGAAGUUCCAUCCAUUCCCGAUCGGCCAAUGCCUCUUAGCCAUCCUUCCUCUUUUGGUGAUGGUAAUAACUUCAGCAUCUCCCCAGCACUGAGCUUUCCACGAGUGAAUAUUGG
rnacentral:misc_RNA from 1 species